UGAUCAUGGCUCAGAACGAACGCUGGCGGCGUGCNUAACACAUGCAAGUCGAACGGAGGUAAGAAGCUUGCUUCUUACUUUAGUGGCGCACGGGUGAGUAACGCGUGGAUAAUCUGCCUGAUGCUCUGGGAUAACACUUCGAAAGGGGUGCUAAUACCGAAUAAGCCCACGAGGUCUACGGAUCUUGCGGGAAAAGGGGGGGACCNUCGGGCCUUCCGACUUCAGAUGAGUCCGCGUACCAUUAGCUAGUUGGCGGGGUAAUGGCCCACCAAGGCUACGAUGGUUAGCUGGUUUGAGAGAAUGAUCAGCCACACUGGAACUGAGACACGGUCCAGACUCCUACGGGAGGCAGCAGUGGGGAAUUUUGCGCAAUGGGGGAAACCCUGACGCAGCAACGCCGCGUGAGUGAUGAAGGCCUUCGGGUCGUAAAGCUCUGUCAAUAGGGAAGAAAUGUAUUGCGGUUAAUACCCGUGAUACUUGACGGUACCUCGAAAGNNANCNCCG
rnacentral:rRNA from 1 species